GACGAACGCUGGCGGCGUGCUUAACACAUGCAAGUCGAACGAUGAAGUUCCUUCGGGAAUGGAUUAGUGGCGAACGGGUGAGGAUCACGUGAGAAACCUGCCUUUCAUUUUGGGAUAACUCCGGGAAACCGGGGCUAAUACCGGAUACUCCGUCUCUGCGGCAUCGCGGAGCCGGGAAAAAUUUUGAUGAAAGAUGGUCUCGCGGCCUAUCAGCUAGUUGGUGAGGUAACGGCUCACCAAGGCGACGACG
rnacentral:rRNA from 1 species